CUCCAUGAAGCAAGACAAGGUCAUCCUCCACAUGCAUGAAUUGACCUGCCCCAAACUUGGGGCCUAACUGUCCAGCUGAGCUUAUAUAUCUUGGUCUGGAGAGCUGCCUCAGACUCUCCAAUGGAUCUAUUCAAACAGCUGCCUCUGUUACCUUGACUCGUCUCAGAUUUCGUCGAACUGAGACAGGUCCUGGCACUAGGAAUGGGAUCAUCUUCAUGCUGAGUCUUGGACACCAACCUGAAUUCUCCUAUAGAGAAACUGGACAUCUGCUCUUGAUGGGGUGUAGUGGAUAAGGCAUAGCACCUGUGAUCAGGAGAUCUAGAUCUGAGUCUCAGUUGUGACACUUUUUUCUGUGUUACCUUGGGAAAGUUAUUUACCCUCUCUGAGCCUCAAUUUCCUCACUAAAAGGGGA